UACGUAGGGGGCAAGCGUUGUCCGGAAUCAUUGGGCGUAAAGAGCGUGUAGGCGGCCAAGCAGGUCCGUUGUGAAAACUGGAGGCUUAACCUCCAGACGUCGACGGAAACCGCGUGGCUAGAGUCCGGAAGAGGAGAGUGGAAUUCCUGGUGUAGCGGUGAAAUGCGCAGAUAUCAGGAGGAACACCAAUGGCGAAGGCAGCUCGCUGGAACGGUACUGACGCUGAGGCGCGAAAGCGUGGGGAGCAAACGGG
rnacentral:rRNA from 1 species